GUAAAUACAAAAUUACAUUGGAUAAUGUUGGUGUUUCGGGUCAGUGCAUUCAUAUCGUGGUUAUUGAUUACUAUAUCACAAUCGUAACCGGACGUUAGUUUUUUUAUGUAUGCAUUUCAGUGUAGUUUAUUAUUGAGGAUUUACGCGCUGUGGUUCGUAAGAUUAUUUGAAAGAGAAUUCCAUCAGUUCAUUGACACAUGUUGACAGUGGUAAUCAAUUAAAUUCACCCGUAUAUUCUUUAUUUGGAAUUAAGAAUACCAGAUUCAUUUCGGAAAACUUUUCUCGUAAAACGGCCGGGAAUUAUCAAUAACGAAUGUAUAGAAAAAAAUGACUGCAUCAUGCAGUCACUUUUAGUCAGAGAAGUUGCCGUAGGGGCAAUAAAUAACCAUGAAUGUAACUGAAUAGUUAACCAGAAAUGAAAAGGUAAUCAAAACAUACACCUUCUUGUCAUGUGAAGUUUGUUAUUCUCAAAGUUGGCUGAAUAAAUCUAAAACGAAAGCAUGGUAUUCCUAAAGACGAAUGCGAAUGAUGUUCAAGAAAGUGACAUAUAGAAAUAACACAAAUUUUAAACGAAAAAGAGACACAAACUUUAAAAUAACUGUAAAAACCAUAGUAAAAGAUUCGAACUACGAAAUACCUGAGACGAACUCAGAUUGUCGGGUAGUGUAAACUACAUAUAUUUAUGCUUCACAUGUGGCAAUCGUCGUGAUCCUCACAACAAGUUAGUUAUGUAAGUCACACGUUAUGAUUUUAUAAUUAUGGAAAUUUGAACGAAAUGGAGGCAUCAACAAUAAAAUUAUUCUAACAGAUUUUUAAAUAUUACGGUCAACCAAAUUAUGAUGGGGUCAGGGGAACCUGAGAAGGUAUAAAUACACAUAUUAUUUAUGACUUUUCUAUCCAGAAUACAUACUAUUCACCAUUGGUUCCCCACCUGAGGCUCGUCAAUUCAACAGUGUUGCACAAAUGAAUAUUUGCUUGGAAAUUGGUUAUUCCUGCUGCCCGUAAUACUUAUUUGCUAUUAGAUAAAUUAUACUAUGGAAACAUCGAUGUUAUGUUUAACGCGGUACAUUGACAUUGACUUGCAGUUUUUACGACUUAUCUAUAGUAUGAAAUAGUUUGUAGCAGACAUACAAAUAUUUGUUUGUUUCAGACGGCAUACGAUGUUUCAAAUGUACUAGCUGGGAGAACACAUUAUGUGGUGUAAGCGUGUAUAAGUUUACUGCACUGAGGAAUUUCCCAACAGUUUACUGUGAUGAUGAUUGCAUAAAAAUAGUAGUUAAGCAUGAUGGCAUUACAGGUACUUAUUAACAUGUUGUACUAUAUUUGUACAGUGAAACCUCUAAACCGAACCUUGUCGGGACCAAAGAUUUUGUUCAGUUUUGGCAAAUUUUCGGUUUAAUCUGGUAAUCAACGCAUAAAGUUAGAUUUGACUGGAGUUAAGCUCAUGUUAGGUUUAGACAGGUAUUCGGUUUAUGUAGGAUUUGGUUCACUGUAUAUUAAAAAUAGGAAAAGUUGGAAUACAGAAAACGUAAUUAGAAUUAAUAAAAGAAAGGAAGGAACUGAAAUAAAAAAAUAGGAAGGUAACAGGAAAAUAACAAAAAUACCGAAAAAAGAAUAAUUCUGACUUGUUACUUGGUAAACUACUAUUUACCAAAUACAUUGCAAUAUCCAGACUACCUCGGCACCUAUGUCAUCGUGGUCAGUUUUUCGCUAAAUUUGGUUUGAGACAUUGGUUAUGUUUUAUUUGUUUUUUGCGAAUUUAAGCUGGUUAUCAAUAAUCGACCAUAAAAGUUGAAGUAAGUCAUCUGCCUGUUCGCUUAUAAAAUAAAGGACUCCUUAUGAUUUGAUAAUGAAAAAUACACACACACAAUUUGUUAAAUGGUUUUGUGAGCUCAGCAAUGGGUGAUGCAUAAAUACCAGGCGAGCUUCCAUCCGGACUUGUAAGCUCUCGUGUACUGUUCAUAAGAAUUGAACAAAAAUAUUGCAAAGCUUUAUAUCAGCAUUGUAUUGGACAAGUUCAAACAUGAAAUAUAAGUUAUAUGAAAAUGUAAAUUGUUGGCGCUAUCAAGCCUAAAUUUCUUGUAGAUUAUUUCUUAAAUCUGUAUUAAGGGUUAAUAUCAGCAAUGUUUCGGACGAUUUAUUGAUUUCUUUUUACAGGAAUUAUAUUCCUCGGAAACGUUAUUUCUAUUGAAGUCUAUAUAAGCAUGUGCAAACAAACUUUAUUGGAUUUAGAGCAUGGCUUUGUUCACAAAGCGGAAGAAGGACGUCAUAUUAGAAUGAUAAUUAUGAAAGAUCAAAAGAACACAAACAAAAAUAUAUUGACCUUGGUCAGAUAAGAUAUGUGUAUCGACGGACCAUUUGAGCGCUCUUGUUCCAAUCUUACAUAUAGUACAUUGUAAUGAUGCCAUGUAAGGAAUAGUGAGAUUCUAAUAUCAGGUCCUUAAAUGAUAACUGUUAAUUGCUCUUAACCUAUUUUUCAGAUGUCAUACGUGGCUGCUCGACAGGCUCAGAAAUAGAUGAUUAUACAUGCGAUUCAAAUUACUGUAACAACGGACAUUCUUUGCGAAUCAUAUUUACAACCUUCUUAACAUCAAUUUUGUGCAGCUUUUCCUUUUUGUGAUAGAGUCAAAUAGAAAUAUCUCACGGAAACGUUUGUGCUUUCUAUUUCUAAAAAUGUAUAAAGUGUCAAAGAAAACAUACAUAUACCAGUUUUGAUUUGAUUCAUACGAAUUUUUUAAAAACUUCAUGGAACUGACAACUUCAAACGCCAUUAUAAUUUAAAGAUUUCUUUUCUUUUUUUUUCAUCUAAAACAUCUUUUUUGCACUGUUUAUUGCUGUAAUGACAAGUUACUUGACCUACAACAAUUAGCCAAGUAUCCAUGUGAAUAAUUCACCGAAUAAACAGGGAAAUACCAAAUGAAUCCAUAUAUACGUUGUUUGUUUUACAAGUCACAAUUACUCAGAAGUUUUUGGAAUAUGAAAAAUAACAUCAUUACGGACAAAAAAAAAAACUUUCAACUUUAAAGAACCGUUAUAAGUUGUCAUGUUGAAUAUGUCUUAUUGACUCUUUUGCAAACGGCUUAAACUUCAAUUGCAUAUGUAAGUAGAAAGUCUUGGAAACUUCAUAAACUAUCUGAUUCAGCGUUCAUAUGCAUGAUAUGAUAAUACGUUAAAGAGUUUGGAGACAACCAUUUGUACAUUUUUUUCAAUAUAUCUACGUGCACAGAUCAAUUAAAUACAUAUAUGAUGAAAUUAAAACAAAUAUCGUAUUUCUGAAAAGUGUACAUUAUCAAGAUCUAGCUAUUCAUUACCAUAUAUAUCUUUUUACAUUAUUUACUGAUUUACUUUAAUCAAUUUGUUAAAUUCGUAUGUGGUUAAAACUCACUUCUACAAAUUGAUCAGCAUCUAUACUUUUUGUUUAUAGUUAGAUAUAUGAAUACACUUAUGAACUGAAUAUAUAAAGAUAGUUACGAAUUUCACAAUAUGUAUUUCCUGGUACAUAGGAUCAUGUAAUUUAUACUAUGGAUUCAUUAUUAUACGUUGGAUACCAAUUUUCGUGGGUUUUAUGGGAACAGGUUAGCCACGUAUUCAAAUAUUCAAAGAAUAUCAUAUUUUUAAUAUGCUUUGUAUACAGAGAUUGGCAUAACCACGAAAUCAAAUAUCCACGAAUAUGCAAGUUUUUAGCAAUCCACGAAAAUUGAUACCCCAAGAAAAUAAAUGAAUCAACGAUAGCCAAUUAAUUGGUCCGAGACCACAAUUAUUUCGUAGUGCAUUUCUUUUAGAACAUAAAUGAAAAUAAAAAAAAUCCCACCUGCGCUUUCUCAAAGAAACUUUUACAGUGUGUUGUACUAUUCUUGUGACAAAUUAUAUCAAAAGUAUAGAAAACUUCAUCGCCUCUAACUCAAAAUAUGAACAAUUUUAUGUUUAGGGCGUCUUGAAAUCUUUUGACAGCUCCCGAAGUGCUAAUUUUAAAUCUUUUUUUAGCUGGACCAAAUCACUACUUUCCUUUAAAAUUCUGGACCCAAAUUUUGUUACAGUGUAAUUUGACCCCCCUACUUGCAAUUUGAGGCAUUAAACGUGAAGAAAUAAAUUUGGAAGGGGUAUAAAAAUUAAUGGCAAGUAACCCACUGUCAACACUAGGGACUAUAUUUGUGAACAACGAAAAUCAAGGGACGACAAUUGUGGUCUCGGACCAAUUAAGUUUUUAUACUAAAUAUAUGUAAAUCAGUCGUCUUGGUUUUGCUCACAUGCGCAUAUACUAUUUCCAAAAGUUCAUGGAAGUAUUGACAUUUAAGAAAAAGGCACAGUUUCUAAAAUGCAGUUUAGAUAUAUAAAUCUGUCGUUUAGCUCCUGUCCCAGUGCCGUUUAUUCGAAAUCUGCUUUACCUCAUAUGCAGAUUAAACAAUAGUAAAACAAAUUGAUGUCUAUUUACACUGGUGUCUGGGAGUAACAUAUGUUUAGUCAUUAAGGUGUGUAUAAUAUAAUCACUUUGAUGCGUUACUGAUUUCAUAAAUUAAAUAAUUGUUAUUACAUUGAUUUGUGUGUAUCUAUAAUAAAAGAACAAUUAUAA
rnacentral:lncRNA from 1 species